GGUUAAGCGACUAAGCGUACACGGUGGAUGCCCUGGCAGUCAGAGGCGAUGAAGGACGUGCUAAUCUGCGAUAAGCGUCGGUAAGGUGAUAUGAACCGUUAUAACCGGCGAUUUCCGAAUGGGGAAACCCAGUGUGUUUCGACACACUAUCAUUAACUGAAUCCAUAGGUUAAUGAGGCGAACCGGGGGAACUGAAACAUCUAAGUACCCCGAGGAAAAGAAAUCAACCGAGAUUCCCCCAGUAGCGGCGAGCGAACGGGGAGCAGCCCAGAGCCUGAAUCAGUGUGUGUGUUAGUGGAAGCGUCUGGAAAGGCGCGCGAUACAGGGUGACAGCCCCGUACACAAAAAUGCACAUGCUGUGAGCUCGAUGAGUAGGGCGGGACACGUGGUAUCCUGUCUGAAUAUGGGGGGACCAUCCUCCAAGGCUAAAUACUCCUGACUGACCGAUAGUGAACCAGUACCGUGAGGGAAAGGCGAAAAGAACCCCGGCGAGGGGAGUGAAAAAGAACCUGAAACCGUGUACGUACAAGCAGUGGGAGCACGCUUCGGCGUGUGACUGCGUACCUUUUGUAUAAUGGGUCAGCGACUUAUAUUCUGUAGCAAGGUUAACCGAAUAGGGGAGCCGAAGGGAAACCGAGUCUUAACUGGGCGUUAAGUUGCAGGGUAUAGACCCGAAACCCGGUGAUCUAGCCAUGGGCAGGUUGAAGGUUGGGUAACACUAACUGGAGGACCGAACCGACUAAUGUUGAAAAAUUAGCGGAUGACUUGUGGCUGGGGGUGAAAGGCCAAUCAAACCGGGAGAUAGCUGGUUCUCCCCGAAAGCUAUUUAGGUAGCGCCUCGUGAAUUCAUCUCCGGGGGUAGAGCACUGUUUCGGCAAGGGGGUCAUCCCGACUUACCAACCCGAUGCAAACUGCGAAUACCGGAGAAUGUUAUCACGGGAGACACACGGCGGGUGCUAACGUCCGUCGUGAAGAGGGAAACAACCCAGACCGCCAGCUAAGGUCCCAAAGUCAUGGUUAAGUGGGAAACGAUGUGGGAAGGCCCAGACAGCCAGGAUGUUGGCUUAGAAGCAGCCAUCAUUUAAAGAAAGCGUAAUAGCUCACUGGUCGAGUCGGCCUGCGCGGAAGAUGUAACGGGGCUAAACCAUGCACCGAAGCUGCGGCAGCGAC
rnacentral:rRNA from 1 species